GGUAGGGUGGCCUAGUGGGUACAGCACUGAACUGGGAUUCAGGAGACCUGGGUUCUUACUCCUGGCUCUGCCA
rnacentral:tRNA from 1 species